UUCGGCCAUAGAAGGUAGAAAGCACCGCGUCCCGUCCGCUCCGCGAAGUUAACCUGCCUGUCGCCUGGUUAGUACCAACGUGGGGGACCAGUUGGGAAUCCCAGGUGCCGAAGUU